GCUUAAGAGAGUUCAUGCAAUUAAAUGAACAAGGAUAUUUGCAUAUCUUAUCUUGUAGUCUGUUCAUCCCUGAUUUCAUUCAGUCUUUAUUGUUUUAUCGGUGAAUGGUCAUAUUCUUGUUGCAAGCUAAGGCUGUUUAAUAUGAUAUUCUUUUGUAAAUGACUACCCAUGUGUUCAUUUCCUAGAAAGAUGGGAAAAAGUUAGAAAAGUAAAGAAAGAAAAGAACUAGUAAGGUUGUGGGGUUGAAAUCUAUUGUUGAGUGUUAGUUUGUUUUGUGUUCUAAAUUCUAUUUAUGAUUUUAGGUGGUUGUGGUGCUUGUACUGU
rnacentral:misc_RNA from 1 species